GUGGAGGGCUGGAUGGCCGCGAGGCUCUGUUUUUCGGAAUGGGGUGUCGAGGAAAGUCCGGACUCCCUGAAGACAAGGUGCCGGGUAACGCCCGGGCCUGGCUGUUUGGGGCUUGCCCAGAACGGCUGGGACGGAAAGCGCCACAGAAAACAAACCGCUUCCGCGCCCUCCGGGACGCAGGAGCAAGGGUGAAACGGUGGGGUAAGAGCCCACCGGGGGGCUGGCAACAGCACCCGCAUGGCAAGCCCCACCUGGGAGCAAUGCCGAAUAGGGACCGCAUCAUGGGGCGCUUCACCCCUGCGGUCCGGGUUGGCAGCUAGAGUUUGCGGGCAACCGUAGACCGAGAGGAAUGGUCAUCCAGGCUGGGGUUACCCCGGCUGGACAAAAUCCGGCUUACAGGCUCUCCACGCAU
rnacentral:RNase_P_RNA from 13 species